rnacentral:lncRNA from 1 species
UAGCUAAAUCUCUGUGCAUCCUCUUGAUCAGAGGGUUCUUACUGGAUCGGGACCUUAUGAGUGUGACAAACGUGGGAUAUUCUUUAUGCAGAAGUCUUGCUUUAUUACAUACAGAAGAGCUUCCUCUGCUGAAGUGCCUCUUGAGUGCGACGAAUGUGAGAAAGCCUUCCGCCUUCUCUCAUUGGAUAACAGAUUGUUCUCUUAAGGAAAACACUGUACACAUACAGGAAAUAUUAUUUCUUGUAAAACAUAACACUGGAGGAGAUGCCUUAUGAGGGAGCCAUCUGCCUAAAUUGAAUGACAUCCAGCAUCUGCAUAAACUCGAUUAUGUUAGAGCUGCAUGGCAUUUUUCACCCUGCCGUGUUCCCUUGCCAGACUUAUGUGACUGCCAGGUAUCUGGCAACCAUUCUAUGUCGGCCACGAGGCAGGUGUUCACCGUGCAUCUUUCACUCACCCCAUGAUGUUCCGAAAGUAAACCUUGGUUGUCUUUCAUUGGCCAGAGGAAUUGGCAGUGGAGGACACGGCAAGAACAGAGUUGGAAUGCACGUCAUUCAAAUGGACAUCCACAUUGAUGCAGUUACUAUGUGUGUGGUGGACCUUCAGGAUCUCAAGGGCAUUUCCCUUUGCCCACCUCACCUUUUCAUAUUUGGCAAACUAUAUGCAUUUGCCUCCAGCCCAAGAUUAUAG